CCUACGGGUGGCAGCAGUGGGGGAUAUUGCACAAUGGGGGAAACCCUGAUGCAGCGACGCCGCGUGGGCGAAGAAGUAUUUCGGUAUGUUAAGCCUCUUUAGCAGGGAAGAAGAAAGGACGGUAUCUGAGUAAGUAGCACUGGCUGAAUACGUGCCAGCAGCCGCGGGAAUGCGUAUGGUGCAAGUGUUAACCGGAUUUACUGGGUGUAAAGGGAGCGUAGGGGGGACGGCAAGCCUAGUGUGAAAGCCCGCGGACUAACCGCAGGACUGCAGUUGAAACUGCCGGGCUGGAGUGCCGGAGAGGUAGGCGGAAUGCGUGGUGUAGCGGUGAAAUGCGUAGAUAUUAGGAGGAACACCGAUGGCGAAGGCAGCAUACUGGACGGUGACUGACGCUGAGGCUCGAAAGCGUGGGGAGCGAACAGGAUUAGAUACCCUAGUAGUC
rnacentral:rRNA from 1 species